rnacentral:rRNA from 1 species
CAGCACCCCAAGUGGUCAGGAUGAUUAUUGGGCCUAAAGCAUCCGUAGCCGGUUCUACAAGUCUUCCGUUAAAUCCACCUGCUUAACAGAUGGGCCGCGGAGGAUACUAUAAGACUAGGAGGCAGGAGAGGCAAGCGGUACUCAGUGGGUAGGGGUAAAAUCCGUUGAUCCAUUGAAGACCACCAGUGGCGAAGGCGGCUUGCCAGAAUGCGCUCGACGGUGAGGGAUGAAAGCUGGGGGAGCAAACCGGAUUAGAUACCCGAGUAGUCC